GAACAGUCGUAAAAGCUUUUUCUUCUGCUUCUUCUUCUUCUUCGUUGUCGUCGAUUUCUCUUUCUCUCUCUCUCUCUCUAUCUAAAACUGGCGCAUAGAAUGAGUUUGAUCACAAAGAAACAUAGAAUGUCAUGGAAGCAAUCAACGAGAAGAGCGGUUUUGCGAUCGAGGUACGGUUCUAGGAUCCUCAGAGCUCGUAGAAUCCACAAAAAUGGCGGAAAAGCGUGCUCAUCAGACGUAUCGGCGAGGCUUGAGGCGCUCCAGAGUCUCAUUCCGACUCAGAACAACGGCGAAGGACAUCACCGGAGAUCGGAGGAGUUGUUUCAAGAGACGGCGGAUUACAUCGUGCUUUUGAAGAAUCAGGUGUUCGUUUUGCAGAGGCUGAUCGAGUUUUACGGAUCCGAUGAGAGAGAAAAUGCCGUAUCAGCGUAGUUUACUCUUCUUGAUUCAGAGAAAAGGAAAUUGAGAAGAGAAGACGGUCGGAACGAUCGAUAACUUUCUGGAAUUUUCAUUUUGCAUGCCGUGUUUGGUUGGAGAGAACGUGGAGAGAAUUUGAAUAGCGAAGUUUAGAAUUUCUUUCUUUCGUUUCUUCUUUUUAAAAAUAUUCAUUACAUCAAUACGAGUUCAUUUUGACACGCACCGAAUCAAUCAUAUGCACAUCCAAACUUCAUUGACUGUCCUCUCUGAUUUAGGCAAGUUUUGUAGGUUUUCAGCAACAAAAUACGCACAAGAGAAGUUGAAAUCUCAGGUACAUACAACCGUUGGAUUUCAAUUUCUCUACUCAAGAAUUCUCCAGAAAAGUGAGAUGGACAUCAGAAGCCACAGUCUGUGUCUCAAUGGUUGGGCUCUGAUGUUGACAAGUUUUUAGAGAGAGAUAGAGAGGAGAGGAAAGGGAAGGCCAUGUGCUAAAGCCAACUUUCAAGGGAUGUGUCUGAUUGGAUUUAGGUUUUGGCUGAAUAGUCAUAAUACCCACACACACUUCAUACUUCACACCUAUGUCUGGAUGUGUUUUUCUGAAUAAAUAUUCUUCCUUAAA